CCUACGGGGGGCAGCAGUGGGGAAUUUUGCGCAAUGCUCGUAAGAGUGACGCAGCGACGCCGCGUGAAUGACGAAGGCCUUCGGGUCGUAAAGUUCUUUCGACAGGGAAGAAAAUGCCUAUAAGUAACUGUGUAUGUAUUGACGGUACCUGUAUAAGCAGUCCCGGCUAACUCCGUGCCAGCAGCCGCGGUAAUACGGAGGGGGCGAGCGUUGUUCGGAGGGACUGGGCGUACAGAGCACGUAGGCGGUGUUGUAAGUCAUUAGUCAAAGACUAGAGCUCAACUUUAGUAAGGCUAGUGAUACUAUAAUACUAGAGUAUCAGAGAGGAUUGCAGAAUUCCUGGUGUAGCGGUGAAAUGCGUAGAUAUCAGGAGGAAUACCGUUAGCGAAGGCGGCAAUCUGGCUGGAAACUGACGCUGAGGUGCGAAAGCGUGGGUAGCAAACAGGAUUAGAUACCCCGGUAGUC
rnacentral:rRNA from 1 species